CAAAAAUUUUAUAUUGGUUUAUUUAUUAAGUAUUAUUUUUUAUUAUAUGUUAAUUUUUAUUAAAUAAUUAAAUAGCAGUAAUUAAAUUUAAAUAUUCAAGAAAUUGAGAUUUAGAAAUAAUAGAUAAUAUAAACAAAAUUUGUGCCAGCAGUUGCGGUUAUACAGAUUAUAUGAUUUAAUUUAUUUAAUUUUAAUUAAUUGUUAUUAAAAUUUAAAAUUAAAAUUUAUUUAGUGAAAUUUUAAAUUUUUAAUUAAAUUUUUAUAUUAAAGAUAUUAAGAAAUUUUAUUUAUAGACUAGGAUUAGAUACCCUAUUAUUUAAAAUGUAAAUUUUUAUAAUUAAAUUAGUAUUAGUUAUGUUCUUGAAAAUUAAAAAAUUUGGCGGUAUUUUAGUCUUUUCAGAGGAACCUGUUUUAUAAAUGAUACUCCACGAUUUAAUUUACUUUUUUUAUUAACUUACAUAUCGUCGUAAUUAAAUAUUUUUAAAGAAUUUAAAUAUUUAAGGUUUUUAUUAAAUAAAAUUUCAGAUCAAGGUGUAGUUUAUAUAAAAGUAAAAAUGGGUUACAUUAAAUUUAUUUAAGGAUUUAUAUUAUUAUUAAUAUUUUGAAUGUGGAUUUGAAAGUAAUUUUAAUUAAUUUAUUAAAAUGAUUUUAGCUCUAAAAUAUGUACAUAUUGCCCGUCGCUUUCAUUUAAAAUGAAAUAAGUCGUAACAAAGUAGAUUUACUGGAAAGUGAGUCUAGAUUCAA
rnacentral:ncRNA from 1 species